rnacentral:lncRNA from 12 species
AAAAAAUUACCUCUGGCAGUCGUGUUAUAAUGGCUCUGGUGCUGACAGCCCUUUGGGAACAGUGGCAGCAGCAGGGUUGGAUAUUGUUAACAAAAGGUCCUGAGCAGGGACAUGAGGAAAAGCCAGGUGGGUGUCUUUGGUCUGCCUCGAGUGACAGAGAUCCUGGACGAAGAUGAAAACAAAGAAAUGCCCUGAUCUGGAUCAACAAAACCAGGACUUGAAGUUCAAGCUGUCCAAAGCUCUGGAAAGUCAAUAUAAACGUGAGUGUCCUUCUGUAUCUUAAACUUCAUUGCAACCAAAGCAGUUCUAUGCUGUGUUCUGGUGAAAUCUCACUGCUCAAAGGUGUGCCUGUGGCUCCAGGCAGAAUUCUGAGCCAGAUGAUGAACUUAGUUCUUCUUCUGCUGAAGUCAUAGGACCUUCUGAUGUUUACAGGAGUGCCAGUGGAAACAGAUUUCCAAAUGGUCAGCACAAAAACAGCAGCCGAAUCUCAAACAAUCCAGUCCUAGACAUGGAAAUCUUCGCAGUGGAAACGGAUUUCCAAAUGGUCAGCACAAAACCAGCAGCCAAAUCCCA